rnacentral:rRNA from 1 species
CCGGCGAUGUCCGAAUGGGGAAACCCAGUGCAAUUCGUUGCACUAUCGUUAACUGAAUACAUAGGUUAACGAGGCGAACCGGGGGAACUGAAACAUCUAAGUACCCCGAGGAAAAGAAAUCAACCGAGAUUCCCCCAGUAGCGGCGAGCGAACGGGGAGCAGCCCAGAGUCUGAAUCAGCUUGUGUGUUAGUGGAACGGUCUGGAAAGUCCGACGGUACAGGGUGAUAGUCCCGUACACCAAAAUGCACAGGCUGUGAACUCGAAGAGUAGGGCGGGACACGUGGUAUCCUGUCUGAAUAUGGGGGGACCAUCCUCCAAGGCUAAAUACUCCUGACUGACCGAUAGUGAACCAGUACCGUGAGGGAAAGGCGAAAAGAACCCCGGCGAGGGGAGUGAAAAAGAACCUGAAACCGUGUACGUACAAGCAGUGGGAGCACCUUCGGGUGUGACUGCGUACCUUUUGUAUAAUGGGUCAGCGACUUAUAUUCUGUAGCAAGGUUAACCGUAUAGGGGAGCCGCAGGGAAACCGAGUCUUAACUGGGCGUUAAGUUGCAGGGUAUAGACCCGAAACCCGGUGAUCUAGCCAUGGGCAGGUUGAAGGUUGGGUAACACUAACUGGAGGACCGAACCGACUAAUGUUGAAAAAUUAGCGGAUGACUUGUGGCUGGGGGUGAAAGGCCAAUCAAACCGGGAGAUAGCUGGUUCUCCCCGAAAGCUAUUUAGGUAGCGCCUCGUGAAUUCAUCUUCGGGGGUAGAGCACUGUUUCGGCUAGGGGGUCAUCCCGACUUACCAACCCGAUGCAAACUACGAAUACCGAAGAAUGUUAUCACGGGAGACACACGGCGGGUGCUAACGUCCGUCGUGAAGAGGGAAACAACCCAGACCGCCAGCUAAGGUCCCAAAGUCAUGGUUAAGUGGGAAACGAUGUGGGAAGGCACAGACAGCCAGGAUGUUGGCUUAGAAGCAGCCAUCAUUUAAAGAAAGCGUAAUAGCUCACUGGUCGAGUCGGCCUGCGCGGAAGAUGUAACGGGGCUAAACCAUGCACCGAAGCUGCGGCAGCGACACUAUGUGUUGUUGGGUAGGGGAGCGUUCUGUAAGCCUGCGAAGGUGUGCUGUGAGGCAUGCUGGAGGUAUCAGAAGUGCGAAUGCUGACAUAAGUAACGAUAAAGCGGGUGAAAAGCCCGCUCGCCGGAAGACCAAGGGUUCCUGUCCAACGUUAAUCGGGGCAGGGUGAGUCGACCCCUAAGGCGAGGCCGAAAGGCGUAGUCGAUGGGAAACAGGUUAAUAUUCCUGUACUUGGUGUUACUGCGAAGGGGGGACGGAGAAGGCUAUGUUAGCCGGGCGACGGUUGUCCCGGUUUAAGCAUGUAGGCUGGUU